AUCACGUACGAUCAUCGAAGUUAAGCAAUGUCGAGCCUGGUCAGUACCUAGAUGGAUGACUGCUUGGGAAUACCAGAUGCCGUAAG